AAAAUUCGGAAUGAUAAAAAAAGAAAAAAAUGCUGCAGGCUCUCGCAUCUGUAUCAUGAUAAUGGAUGUCAAGUAACUAGACUAUAAAACUAGGAACGAUGGAUCAGGAUGAAGCUCAAACCGAGUGGGUCAUAAGGCCUUACAUGAACACAUCCAAAAAACAGAAGUUUCUAGGGGACUGAAGCUGCAGAAUAUAAACUUUGAAGCCCCCAAGCAUUAACAGAAGUUGAUUUCAAACUUUGGUGGUCGUUGCUGCCAAAAUCAAUUUUGUUAGCGAGAAAACAUCACAUAGCAAUAUAUGUGUUUGAUCAUUGAAUCGCAGGAGAGCUAUAUAUCUCUCGGUUUGAUCAUUGAUCAUUGCAAAUAGGUUAAAUAAUGCAAUAUUUACGCGGAAAUAUUUUUUCUAAUAUCUCCAGUUUAACGCUGAUUAGUUUAUGCAAAAUUUUGUUAUGGAACUA